GACGAAGGGGGCUAGCGUUGUUCGGAAUUACUGGGCGUAAAGCGUGCGCAGGCGGUUUUGUAAGUCAGAUGUGAAAUCCCCGGGCUUAACCUGGGAACUGCGUUUGAAACUACAAGGCUAGAGUGUGACAGAGGGGGGUGGAAUUCCACGUGUAGCAGUGAAAUGCGUAGAGAUGUGGAGGAACACCGAUGGCGAAGGCAGCCCCCUGGGUUAACACUGACGCUCAGGCACGAAAGCGUGGGGAGCAAACAGG
rnacentral:rRNA from 1 species